GACGAACGCUGGCGGCGUGCCUAAUACAUGCAAGUAGAACGCUGAAGGAGGAGCUUGCUUCUCUGGAUGAGUUGCGAACGGGUGGGUAACGCGUAGGUAACCUGCCUGGUAGCGGGGGAUAACUAUUGGAAACGAUAGCUAAUACCGCAUAAGAGUAGAUGUCGCAUGACAUUUGCUUAAAAGGUGCAAUUGCAUCACUACCAGAUGGACCUGCGUUGUAUUAGCUAGUUGGUGAGGUAACGGCUCACCAAGGCAACGAUACAUAGCCGACCUGAGAGGGUGAUCGGCCACACUGGGACUGAGACACGGCCCAGACUCCUACGGGAGGCAGCAGUAGGGAAUCUUCGGCAAUGGACGGAAGUCUGACCGAGCAACGCCGCGUGAGUGAAGAAGGGUGUCGGAUCGUAAAGCUCUGUUGUAAGAGAAGAACGAGUGUGAGAGUGGAAAGUUCACACUGUGACGGUAUCUUACCAGAAAGGGACGGCUAACUACGUG
rnacentral:rRNA from 1 species